AGGCACUUACCAACACAUGGGAUCGGUUGCGCUGAUGCUACACUUCUCUGCCUUUUUGUGCACAUAUCAGGGAACAGCUUACGAACCACCGUAACAGUAGAGUUGGGAGCUGAUCUUCAGUCGAGAGACUUCGAGGUAGCCUUGCCUGCGUCCGUGGACUCGGAGUUCCUCUUAUGUUUAUUUCAGUUUUUUCUACUUUGUAUCGAGACAAACAUUUUAUAUAUUUCUUUCAGACUUUUGUUGUAGUAACUCAUAGUAGUCCGUGAGCAGUGACACUAGAUAUUAGGUAGAAACAUAUGUUGAGUUUUGGUAUUUUUUUUUCUGGUUUCAGAUAUUUAUGCACUUAAAAGUCUU
rnacentral:lncRNA from 1 species